GUGUAUAUGCAAGAUCCAAUGAUUUUAAAUCACAUUUUCAGAUUUGACUUAAUGUGUAGUGUCCAUCUCCAUUCAAUCCCUUAGUAGAUCAAGAAUGUCAUGCUAUAGAAUGUACCUCUUUUUUAUUGGAGAAGAUGAUUCUGUUUCCAUUUUGAUAUCAGGUUCAUAAGCAGGGUGUUGCACUUGGAAGAUCUGUUGACUUGACAAAGUUUGAUGGUUAUGACCAAUUAAUCGAGGAGUUAGAUCAGCUAUUUGAAUUCAAAGGAGAAUUGAUGGCUCCAAAUAAAAAUUGGAUGAUUGUAUUUACUGAUAAUGAGGAUGAUAUGAUGCUUGUUGGAGAUGACCCUUGGCAGGAAUUUUGUGCUAUGGUCCGUCAGAUUUUUAUAUACACAAAAGAGGAGGUCCAGAAGAUGGAUUCAAGUACCUUGAACCCAAAAAAUGAAGAUUGUCCUGAUAUGAAAGAGAAUGUCAAGGAAACAAAAGGCAGUCAAUCUGCAUCAUCAUCUAAUUCAAAAAACUCAUAGGCUUAUCCUGCAAUGCUGACGACAUCUUUGCCAUGUGCAAUUCAAUCUUUGUAGGAUCUUGAAGCACAAACAAAGUGAUUGUUUGAGCUUUAUCUAAGUGAUUGUUUGAACAGUUUUAUAGCAUGCAUCUUGACAAUUAAUAUAAUUUUGAAGAUCACUAUCAAGGAAGAAUGUUCAAAGGAAAGUAAAGGCUAAGGAGAAGAUCACGUAAUUAACUACACGGGUCUAGUGAAAAUACUGAAGAAGUAUGACAAGAGAACAGGAGCACUUAUCAGGCAGCCCUUCAUCGAAAAGAAUGCGACGGACAAAAUGGAGUGCCAAAGCCGGCACAAUCAGGUGGGAGGGUUCCGGAGUUGGAGGAGAUUAAAUAUAUGCAGAGCUUAUACAUGAAGAGCACUGUAGCAGCGCUGCGGUCCUUGAAACAGAAUAGGAGCAAAAGUUCAACAGUCAAAACAGAUUAGAAAAUCUCGUGUUAUAUUGUUCUAC